rnacentral:rRNA from 1 species
CAAUUUAUCGACCUCAGAGCAGGUGAGACUACCCGCUGAAUUUAA